UGUGUUUUAACAUUAUAAAUGUAAUCUGCAUUUGAUGCACAAAACCCAGAAGAGUAAAAAGAAGCGAAAACUCGUGACAGUCCCACUACCACGGACACGCUCAUUGGCAAAACCCAACCAGAAGCCAGAGCAGAGAGCCUGGGCACUGUGUCCUAUAGAGGUUACAGAUCCAAGUUCACAGGCCAAGGUCGAGAGACAUGGAGAAUGGGUCUCAUGGCAAGCAGAAGCAGAGAGAAUUAGCCAGGAUAAAGACGAGAAGAAAAUUAAAAAUCCUUCGGAAGUCCACCCUCCAGAGCUCUCUGACGCAGUGGAGACAUGGAGAACGUAGAAAGAACAGUGCCCUCGUGCGCCUGCCUAGGGGCUGUGCCAUCUGCAAGCUGUGACUGUCGUGUCAUAUCUG